UUCCACCUCCUGGGUAGGUUCAUUGAGAGUUUCCCACCCUUCCUUUGAUUGUCAGGGGUUUGAGUUUCACGUUUUCAGUUGGACACAGCACAGUGCUGCUCAGUGACUCUCAGCUGGCCCAGGAAGUGAAACAGAACUGGAAAACUUUAUGUGUGUAGAAGAUACUCAUCUAGUCCCUUUCCUGCUGUUUCCUCUCUGUGAAUAUUCCUCUUCACCACUUACUUGGCUGUUUCCUCAGCAUGUGUCCAAGCAAUGCCAGCACUGUUUGUGCCAAGUGCAAACAUGAAAAGAACUGGAAUUGUUUUAUAGUGCAGAGCUUGUAGAAAAUCAGUAAAUUCCAUGAAAGAUUUGAGUUGGGGAAGUAGAAUCCGUGAUGGUGUCAAUGAAGCUAAAACGAUGACUGUCACCUCCUUCAAUAGGGAGACAAGUCCCUGGAGGCAUGGAGGAAACAAAGUGAGAAGAAUAAAACAAUCCUCUUGGAGCAGG